GACGAACGCUGGCGGCGUGCCUAAUACAUGCAAGUUGAACGCUAAAACUUUAACUGGUGCUUGCACCGACUUAAGUUUUUAGAGUAGCGGACGGGUGAGUAACACGUGGGUAACCUGCCCAUCAGAGGGGGAUAACACUUGGAAACAGGUGCUAAUACCGCAUAAUUCCUUUUACCGCAUGGUAAAAGGCUGAAAGGCGCUUCUGGUGUCACUGAUGGAUGGACCCGCGGUGCAUUAGCUAGUCGGUGGGGUAACGGCCUACCGAGGCGAUGAUGCAUAGCCGACCUGAGAGGGUGAUCGGCCACAUUGGGACUGAGACACGGCCCAAACUCCUACGGGAGGCAGCAGUAGGGAAUCUUCGGCAAUGGACGAAAGUCUGACCGAGCAACGCCGCGUGAGUGAAGAAGGUUUUCGGAUUGUAAAACUCUGUUAUAAGGGAAGAACGAUACAUGUAGGGAAUGACAAGUAUGUGACGGUACCUUAUGAGGAAGGGACGGCUAACUACGUGCCAGCAGCCGCCGUAAAAC
rnacentral:rRNA from 1 species